rnacentral:rRNA from 1 species
UACGUAGGGCGCAGGCGUUGUCCGGAAUUAUUGGGCGUAAAGGGCUCGUAGGCGGUUUGUCGCGUCGGGAGUGAAAACACUGGGCUUAACUCAGUGCUUGCUUCCGAUACGGGCAGACUAGAGGUAUGCAGGGGAGAACGGAAUUCCUGGUGUAGCGGUGAAAUGCGCAGAUAUCAGGAGGAACACCGGUGGCGAAGGCGGGUCUCUGGGCCGUAACUGACGCUGAGGAGCGAAAGCAUGGGGAGCGAACAGG